GUGUUGUAUGAACGGAAGGUCAGCGCUCCCCUAGACAAGGAUGGAAGAGACCCUUGGGCCUAACAACACACAUGCGGUUAAGGCACUGCCACCAUAGUUUAAGGCAUCUAACCCCUGUUUCU